GACGAACGCUGGCGGCGUGCCUAAUACAUGCAAGUCGAGCGAAGCGGGGACGGGUGAGUAACACGUGUAUAACCUUCUAUAAGACUGGGAUAACUUCGGGAAACCGGAGCUAAACCGGAUACUUAUAGAUGGAUACGCCAUCCAUUAGCUAGUUGGUAAGGCAACGGCUGACCAGGGCAACGAUGCAGAGCCGACCUGGGAGGGUGAUCGGCCACACGACAACUGAAACACGGUCCAUGCUCCUACAGGAGGCAGCAGUAGUGAAUCUUCCGCAAUGGGCUAAAGCCUGACGGAGCAACGCCGAGUGGUUGAUGAGGGUCUUCGGAUCGUAAAACUCUUUGAUUAGGUAAGCGGUACCUAAUCAGAAAGCCACGGCUAACUACGUGCGAGCAGCCGCGGUAAUAC
rnacentral:rRNA from 1 species